rnacentral:lncRNA from 1 species
AUCAAUAAUCAACCAGUAACUUAUCACAAAAUUUAUUUAUAUAUUCUAUAUAGUCCCACUUCUAUCUGAGCAGUGUUUUUACAAAUAUUAUUUAGGCUCAACUUAUAAAGACAUAGCAACAUUAGCUUCUUUAGUCAAUGGUGUUCGCUUACUAUCCUUAGAAUUGGUGACCCCCUCCUCUGCUACAUCUUCGUUGUGUGUCUCGAUGUUGAAGGAUUUUCCAUCCAAACGCACCAUCAGAUCUUCAUUCAACAAACCCGAUUCUCGUACCUGAGACUCAAGAUGGGCAAUUUGAUUCUCACGCUCUUCUAAUAACUUCUGCCAUUUUUUUGUCGGUUUCAAAGGUAUCUCCAAAGGUGUUGUCGUUGAAACUCGCAUAUUGGUUUGCUCUAAAUUAUUGGCCUCCUUCUCUAAUGUGGCUAGUUUAGUAUGCAAUAUCGCAACCUCUACUUGUAGCCGCUCUUACCAUUCCUUCCAAUCGGUCUCUAUCUUUGCUUUUUCAAAUACCAUAUUCACCACCUUCUCCUUUUCUGCCAUCCACUUCUCUUUAACCAUAACUUCCACUAGCACAACAUCAAUUGGUGGUAAGUUUUACGAAAUGUGUAAAGAUCCAUGCCUAUUCGAUCUUCAAAAAUCUUGCUACUUCUCCUUAAUCUAACAAACAUCCAAUCGGAUUGGCUCCAUGUUAGUCACAAUAAUACACUCUAAUCGUGGCAACUCAUCCUUGCACCUUACAUUGUGUUGUUUUUCGUCCCUAUUCAACUACCUCUUAGUCUUUUCAAUCCCAAUUGUAUUCUAAUACAAGUAAGUACUCACAACUAAUCUCUCAAAAUACACAUACACGGCUGCUUAUACAAAAGAAAACAUAAUGCUCGUCAAGAGCUCCCCUCCUACUUCUUACUAUGAUCUAAUUAAUUGGGUCGACUCCUCCUUAUUU